GGCUAAGGCCACAAGGAUGCAACGCAGCACGUCACAGAGAAGUAUCGGGCAUGCGCAAAGGAGUCCUCCGCGCUCGACCGCGCUCAUAAGAGAAACAGCGUGUGUGGUUCUUGACGUGCCGCGAACCUUCGAACACCAGCGCUGGACCACCCUGUGAGGAAGCGUUCCAGCGACUCUCCUGUUCCCACCGCCUCAGUUACCAGCGCGACGUGCUGUUUCGCCCCAGACUCGAUGCCCGUCACAGGCUCGUCCCAUGGCCCUCGUUUCUGCUGAUUCCCGAAUUGCAGAGCUUCUCACAGAGCUCCAUCAGCUGAUCAAGCAAACCCAGGUAGGGGCGAAGUGAAGCAUGGGCUGUGGUGUUACGCUGUG